GUGAUCAUGUGACAUUACAGGCAGCUGCAGAUGCGUAUCGGGUGAAAAUAGUAGUCCUAACAUCAUUCAAAGAUACAUGUUACAUCGAAAUUCUUCCUACCUCCCAAGAAUCCAAAGGAGUAAUCUUCUUGAGCUUCUGGGCAGAGGUUCACUACAACGCCAUCUACUUAAACAGAGAUACAUCUGAAACAGAGCUACAGAGGAAGAGAAAAUGGUGGCGUUUCGGAAACUAGACAAGGCCAUGGAUCAUCAUCAGCAACUGGGUUAUAUUAAUAUUUUAUUGACUUGAGAGAGGGAUGUUCUUUGAUAUAGUCCCUUCGUAGAGAGAGAGGAUGAACAGAGCUCAUAGCUUCAAAGUCUUACAAUAAUAUUAUUUUCUUCUUUGAAAGAAAGAAAAUUUAUCUGCCCCAAAAACAGAAUUAACAAAUCAAAUAAAAACAAUACACAACAUUUUGAUCA